GUGUGUGAGCCUAGGCAGGGGUGCGGCUGCAAGCUCCAGGUCUGGCAUCCGCUCGUCUGUGCCUGAGAUGGGGAGUCUUGCCUUUGCGUACCAGGCUGAACCUCUGCCCAGGGGAGUAGCAACUGGAAGCUGUUGCCAACGUGGCCAGGUGGCAAAAGCAGUGAAGAAGGGCCCGGGUGAAGUGGAGGGGACACCGGACACACACACACCCCUUCAGCUGAGUAACCAACGCAGGGCCGGGGCCACCUCAGUUUCCCUCCCUGUAAAACAGGGCCGGGCAGGCUCCCCGCAAACCGAACUGCCUCUCCCAGCGGUCUGCAGCAAAUACCCGGGGGUUCGGCUCCGACUGGAGCGCGGGCUACGCGUCCACCGAGGCUCCAAGAAAGUGAAGGAGGAGGUCUCGUCCCGCCUCUCCCACGGCGGGGACGUGGAGCGCCGGAGCGACCGGAGAAGCACAAAGCCGAGCGGCGCUCGGGCUCUACCUGCGCGGUCCGGGCAGAAACGCAGGCUCCCACCCGCGUCCGGCGGGUAAAGUAACCCAGAUGGGGUCCUCGAUGCCGGCGCAGACCUCGGCGGAGGGUCGGGGCUGGGCCCGACCAGACCCGGGAGAGUGAGCGCGAAGCUCAGAGGCCGCCCCGCCUGCGCCGCCGACCCCGGAGCCUCCUAUGCCUGCCCGCGCGAGGGCCCGGCGGUCCCCAGCUUUGUUCGCCGCCCCGGCCCGGGGCGACUCCCUUCCCCCGACCUGACCCCGGCCCGCCCCGACCCGACGCCCGCGGCGCGCAGACCCACCCGGCGGACACCCAGCGCGGCCGCGGGGCCGGGAAGGCGGAGGAGCCGCGCGAGGUUCGGCAGCCGGGGCGGCGGCGGCGGCGGCGGGGCCGUCCCCGGGGGCGAGGGCCGGCGCUUACCUGCAUGUCCCGCCGCGUGUCAGGCCCGCGGGCUCCGGGCGCCGCUCGGCCCGGCCCGGCUCUUCCUGCGCCCGGCUGCGCUGGGUCGGCGGGCGAGGCGCGGCCCGCGGGGGCGCAGGGGGCGGCCGGCGGGGCCCGGGGCAGACCCUGCCCGCUCCUCUCAGCGCGCGGGCCGCUCGGGCCGCCGCCUCCGACUCUUCAUCCGCGGCCGGGGCGCGGGGCUGGCGGCGCGGGCGGGCGUGCUCGGCUCCCGGGGUCCCGCCGAGGCGUCUCGGGCCCCCCCCCCGAUGCUGGGGCAGCCUCCGAGGUGUCCACCGGAGCCCGGCCAGGCAGCCCCGGCGCUCGGAGUCUGCGCGCCCUCCUGCCGCCCGGAGGGCUCCCUGCUCCGCGCCGGGGACCCCCGAACUCAGCGGGCGGGGACGGUCGGGGGCGCGCAGCCUGCGGCCGAUCCGGAGGGAGGCCCUGGGCCCGAGGCGCGGGCUCGGGAGGCCGCCGUCGAUCUCGCCGGGCUGCGCGCCCUGCUCCGGAGCGCGGGACCCGGGGAAGUUUCGGCCCAAGUUGGCUGCGGGGCGGGUGGCGGCCGCGGCUCGGAGUGCAGGGCCCGGCGCUGGGCGAGUGGAUCCUGGGGGCGCCGCCGCCUCCGCCCCGCCUCCCGCGCCUCCUCCCCGCCCCCGACAGCCGCGCCGGCCCCGGCUCGCUCCUGCCCACCAGCCGGGCCGCGACACCCUCCCGAGGGCUCCUCCCAGGCGCUGGGACCGCGACCUCCGCACCUGCCUCCCGCCCGGCUCCCUCGGCCCCUAAGCAGAGCGGCCCGGGGGCCUCGCCGCGGGGGUGCGGACGGGGAGUCUCCGCCGCCCGGCCCCCUUCUCCCGGCGCCGCACGCCUGCUGCCCCCUUCUCCUGGAACUCGACCCGAUCCUCCGAAGAAACCGCGGCUCUUACCCCGGCCAGCAGCCCCCUCGGGGCGCCCAAGGAGCCCGUACCCGCGCCCCGCGAUCCUGGCACGAGCGCCCACCUCGGCGUCUGCGGGGCCCGAGGCUCUGAGAGGGGAAGAGAGUUAUGUCCUCCGCUUUCUUGCUACGCGUCCUCCUUUGAAUCCCCCAAGGAAGUAGAGUGACCCGGGAACUACUUUGCCGCUUCGCAAACCCAGGUCAUCCCCCUCGCAGUCCUGGGCCCUUCCCUACAGAGCCCAGCUCAGAAAGAUCCCUGGGUUUGGGAAAAAUGAGGCAGAAAGGUUUCAAGGAGCAAACGUGUUCUCUCAAUACUUUCGUCAUGGAUAUAGGACUAAAUAAUUCUCCUGAUGUUUUAUGGAGAAAAUGAGGCACAGGAAAGUCUGACGACCAACCCAUAGUCACUGCAGGGGCUAAUAGCUUGAGAAGGUCACUAGAGUCCAGGGCUCGGCCUUAGUUCAGAUCCAAGUUUAAAUGCUUUUCUGGAAGUCCCAUGUCCUUUUGUAGGUAACCUCAUAGCACCUCUGGGUGAGCUGCCCAAGAGGGUGUCCAAGGAGGUGAAGUGGGUGAGCUAAGGUCCCAGUGGAGGCAGGAGCUGCUGGUCCCUGCUCCAGACCCAGGUAACAGGGACCAACCGAGAGCAGCCAGUAGGAUCCCAGGCCUGCCCUCCAGCCCCUUUGCUUUUACAUUCUGAAAAACCCAGUCUCUUCCCUGAGGAGGAGGUCGCCCUGCUAAAGAAAUUGCCUUCGAAUGCAGUACAGUGAGGGGAGGGAAAAUACAAUAGUAAUAAUCAAAGGCUUUGCCUUUUUAAAAUUAGUAACCAAACAAGGUGACAGCCUCCCCCUUUCAGUGGGGGAAGGGGCAGCAGGGAGGGUCAGGGAAUGGAUGGGACCAGGAACCCACCACACUGGGCAGGCAAUAAGGAGCUAUUGUCCUCUGGAUUUUACAACAGGUAAGAGCUGUUGUAGCAAAUACCCCACUAAUUAGAGGGCAAGGUUUCCUUGGAACUGUGCUGGCUUGGGCCGGAGGUGCACCGUGACUUUUCUCACCUCAGGUGCACUGUGACUUUUCUCACCUCGGAGUGAAUGAAUGGGGUUUAUGAGACCAGGUCCAGCAACCAUAAAUGCAUGGCCUAUAAUUGUUGUGGGGAGCCUGCCUGCUGCUGGAGGGAAGCUAGUUCAAGGCUUUAUCUUGGGGACAGAUGAUAUGAGGAGAGUUGGCCUAAAGCAAGCAAAAAAGCUUUGAAUCCGCUUUGCCAAAUUUCAAGCAGGCUCAGUUUCUCUCUUCCUCAGAAUAAAACAUCAGUUCUAGUGUUAGGGUCUUUUUUUUUUUUUUUUUUUUUUGAGACAGAGUUUUGCUCUUGUUGACCAGGCCGGAGUGUGGUGGCACAAUCUCGUCUCACUGCAACCUCCUUCUCCCGGGUUCAACUGAUUCUCCUGCCUCAACCUCCCAAGCAGCUGGGAUUACAGGUGUGCGCCACCGUAGUAGAGACGGGGUUUCACCAUGUUGGCCAGGCUGAUCUCGAACUCCUGACCUCAAGCGAUUCACCUGCCUCGGCCUCCCAAAGUGCUGGGAUUACAGGCGUGAGCCACUGUGCCCGGCCAUGGAGUUAGGGUCUUCGUGGGAGGUCGGGGGGAAGUCUUGUUCCCCAGACCCUGAUUACUCCAGAAUGCAACAUGGGAGAAACUGAAGAUUCGCUUCAUUUGUUGAGCCCUAAACACCCAGAGAUGAAUGAGACCAGUUCCCACCUUCAGGAAGUUUACAGUCUGAAGAAUGAGGUGUGGAGAGGCCGACCUCUAAUUUGAAGCCUAGAAGAAGCAACAAGGGAUGACUUUGCUUGGCCCUGAGCUGACAGUCUAGGAUGAGAGCAAGUGACAGACGACAGCAACCCCAGCUGAAUGCUCUGUAAGUCCCCUACCCCCACCAUCUCUGUCCAAGAUGAGUCAAAACUUGUGGCACAGGGAGGGAAGCUGCAGUGCCCCCGGGAAAGGAGCUUGUGGCUGAGUAGCUGGGAAAACGUUUGAAUGAGGAGACAGCAGAGACGUGGGCCAGAUUCCCCAAGGGAAGUGGUAAGCACCCCAUAGCUUGAGUCACUGGACUGCUGGGGCAGCUACCUCCAGCUCUGAAGGCAGGCACUGAUGGGAAUGCAGACAAAUCUCACCCAUGUUUUGUCUGUGACUGUUGGGUGGGGUCUCUUGCCUUCUCUGCCAAACAAGGCAUAUUCCAAUUUGGCAUUUGUGAUUAAAAAGAAAGGACACAAGAAAGUAAGGAAGGAAAUA